rnacentral:rRNA from 1 species
CUUGCUUCCACUGGAGAAGGAUAGUGGCGAACGGGUGAGUAACACGUGGGUAACCUGCCCAUAAGAGGGGGAUAACAUCCGGAAACGGGUGCUAAUACCGCAUAGUUUUCUUGAUCGCAUGAUCGGGAAAGGAAAGACGGCCUUUGUGCUGUCGCUUAUGGAUGGACCCGCGGCGUAUUAGUUAGUUGGUGAGGUAACGGCUCACCAAGACGAUGAUACGUAGCCGACCUGAGAGGGUGAUCGGCCACAUUGGGACUGAGACACGGCCCAAACUCCUACGGGAGGCAGCAGUAGGGAAUCUUCCGCAAUGGACGAAAGUCUGACGGAGCAACGCCGCGUGAGUGAAGAAAGGUUUUCGGAUCGUAAAACUCUGUUGUCAGAGAAGAACAAGUUGGAGAGUAACUGCUCCAGCCUUGACGGUAUCUGACCAGAAAGCCACGGCUAACUACGUGCCAGCCGCUGC